UACGGAGGGUGCAAGCGUUGUUCGGAUUUAUUGGGCGUAAAGCGCGUGUAGGCGGUCUCUUAAGUCUGAUAUGAAAGCCCUGGGCUCAACCCAGGAAGUGCAUUGGAUACUGGGAGACUUGAAUACGGGAGAGGGUAGUGGAAUUCCAGGUGUAGCGGUGAAAUGCGUAGAUAUCUGGAGGAAUACCGGUGGCGAAGGCGACUCUUUGGCCUGUAACUGACGCUGAGGCGCGAAAGCGUGGGGAGCAAACAGGG
rnacentral:rRNA from 1 species